GAUUAUGAUUUUCUUAUUUUUAUGGAGUUGAUAGUGGUGCCAUUGUGCCAUCUGAGAUUGUACACUCAAUUGACAUUCAUCCUUCACGAAAGCAUGCCUGCGUUAAGAUGCCUUCUUCAAUUCUCACUUCUCUUAGUCCUGUAAUUUCAUGCCUUCUCCCCUCUAGCUUUGUAAGAUUAAAUGGUGUGCUUUCAGGCAAUACAUCAGGCUUAUGAUGCUGUCAUACAAUAAAAACGCAUUGGGGCAAAAAUAUUGAAGAAAAUGUCUAGGAGAAUCAUGUCACUCAGGCGCUCAAUAGGAUAUAAUCCAAGAUAAUUGGCUCUACGGUGUUGAACACAAUCAUGAUUCACAAUUAAAUAUGGUAUGUCCAGAUUUUCCAAGACUGCACCGUGUUCAGAUUAUUAAGAUUGUUAGGUUACCUUUUUCAACACAUUUCGUAAGCUGUCGUUGGAUGUAAUAGGUUACCAAUUUAUCCAGAAUGUCAGGGAUAUAUCGAAGUCACAAGUAUAAUGAUUUUUGCAAUAUUUUUAUUCUUUCUUAU